rnacentral:rRNA from 1 species
AUUGAACGCUGGCGGCAUGCCUUACACAUGCAAGUCGAACGGCAGCACGGGGCAACCUGGUGGCGAGUGGCGAACGGGUGAGUAAUGCAUCGGAACGUACCUUUCAGUGGGGGAUAACGUAGCGAAAGUUACGCUAAUACCGCAUAUUCUGUGAGCAGGAAAGCAGGGGAUCGCAAGACCUUGCGCUGAUUGAGCGGCCGAUGUCAGAUUAGCUAGUUGGUGAGGUAAAGGCUCACCAAGGCGACGAUCUGUAGCGGGUCUGAGAGGAUGAUCCGCCACACUGGAACUGAGACACGGUCCAGACUCCUACGGGAGGCAGCAGUGGGGAAUUUUGGACAUUGGGGGCAACCCUGAUUCAGCCAUGCCGCGUGAGUGAAGAAGGCCUUCGGGUUGUAAAGCUCUUUCGGCCGGGAAGAAAUCGCACGGGCUAAUACCCUGUGUGGAUGACGGUACCGGAAUAAGAAGCACCGGCUAACUACGUGCCAGCCGCCGCGGUAA